rnacentral:rRNA from 1 species
UACGUAGGCAGCAAGCGUUGUUCGGAGUUACUGGGCGUAAAGGGUGCGUAGGUGGCUCUAUAAGUAUGGUGUGAAAUCUCCCGCUUAACUGGGAGGGUGCGCCGUAGACUGUGGGGCUAGAGUGUGGGAGAGGAAAGUGGAAUUCCUGGUGUAGCGGUGAAAUGCGUAGAUAUCAGGAGGAACACCGGUGGUGUAAAACGGCU